GACGAACGCUGGCGGCGUGCCUAACACAUGCAAGUCGAACGGAAAGGCCCUGCUUUUGUGGGGUUCUCGAGUGGCGAACGGGUGAGUAACACGUGUGUAACCUGCCCUUGACUUUGGGAUAACUUUAGGAAACUGGGGCUAAUACCGGAUAGGAGCUCUUGCUGCAUGGUGGGGGUUGGAAAGUUUCGGCGGUUGGGGAUGGACUCGCGGCUUAUCAGCUUGUUGGUGGGGUAGUGGCUUACCAAGGCUUUGACGGGUAGCCGGCCUGAGAGGGUGAACGGCCACAAUGGGACUGCGAUACGGCCCAGAAUGCUACGGGAGGCAGCAGUGGGGAAUAUUGCACAAUAGGCGGAAGCCUGAUGCAGCGACGCCGCGUGCGGGAUGACGGCCUUCGGGUUGUGAACCGCUUUCGACUGUGACGAAGCGUGAGUGACGGUAAUGGGUAAAGAAGCACCGGCUAACUACGUG
rnacentral:rRNA from 1 species